UGUAUCUCUAUUUCAUUUUUACUUUGAAAAUGAAAUGGAACAGACAAAUUUUACUUGUCAACUUAAUAAUGGUCUGUCUAGUCAAAAGGCCUCCAGUUGGUUUAGAAUGGAGAAUCUAAAAAAAAAUAUGUAAAGUGUUUUUUUUUAGUUUCCUGAAUUUUUAUAUACAUUUUGUUAUUGCUCCCUUUCAAUUUUUAUAAAUUCCAGAUUUUAAGUUUUGGAUUUAUGGGGCUUUAUUCAUAAAAAAAGGGGGAUUUUUCACACCUGGACAAUAACUCAAAAAGGCUUUCACCAAUGUCCAUGAAACUUUGGUGAAUUGUUUAUAUCUGUUGACAUAAGCUCCCUUUCCCUUUUUAUUAAUUUUAGAUUUUACGUUUUCUUAAGUAAUGAAUUUUUAUACUUAAAAAAGGGGGAUUUUAUGCAGUUUUGGUGAAACUUAAAAGAGCAACGGCCGUAUCAUGUGCUAAAGCGCAUCCCUUUAUUGAAAUGUGUUGUAGUUUUUACAUAUUAUUAUUUCUUUAUUUUAAUUAUACAAAUUUUGUAUUGUUAAAUAUUUAAAGGGUGUGGAGUCGCAACAGUGUGAAAUUUUCAGGACAAAAGGGAGGUAAUUCCUUUGUUAUACUCAUUAUACUUGAAAUUUCCUGAGUGUUUAUAUGGAAUAUAACUUUUUUAAUUAAAAUAUUCACUUUUGUACACAUUUUCUUUAAAUAUCAGAUGUAUACUUGCUAAAAUUACUUUUAUUUAGAGUUCUGUAAAUAAAAAAAAAUGUAAGCAGAGCUCUAGCUAUAGAUAAUAGAUUUGGAGGGUGGGAGAAAUUGUGGGUAAUUACAAUUGAUUAGGUGAAAUUUCAAAAGACUUAAAAAGUGCAUCUGAUAUUUAUUUUUACAUAAUGUUAUUUCUGAAAGCAAAUGGACAAUAAGAUGAGGACAUAAACCACCUUCCAGGUUAGGAUAGCAGCUCUUAAGGAAGAUGGUCAAUUAAAUCUUCAACCCAGUCUGAGGCCUUACCAUGAAAAAUAUGUGGUUGUUGAAAUUACAAUGUUUUCAUGGUGUGGGGAGUAAGACUUGAAUAUCUGAUAUUGUUAACAUGAUGGUUAGCAUCACAACUUUCCUUUGGGUAACUUGCUUGAGGAGUAAAGAGAGCUGUUUAAGUUGAAAGUGUCACCUUUGCUGCCUUGUGUGGUACAAUCUUCAGACAAUAUCCUGCAAAACGUGGCUGAACUGUUACUAUCUUUUUUUAGUAGAAUCCUUAGACAGUAAUCUUGUGGCAGAAUGAGUUGUAAACAAAUUGUUUUUAUUCCUGUAUUGAGUUUCAAAUUGGAUAUUUUUUUAUUUAUAUUAUUUGUAUUCCAUUUGCAUUCAAUUAUUGUUUUUUAAUUGAUGAAUCAUUAAAACUUAAAUUUUGCGGGGUCCUAAAGAACUUUCUUAGAGGGGGCCAGCGCAAUUGAUUAAACAAAAUUUUUCCAGCAACAGGGAGAGGAGACAUCCCCAUAAAUAUGCCUUUGAAAUGGGGUGUUAAAGAAGAUUUGUAUUGUUUGUUUGUUUGUCCAUCAUCAGCUCUCAUCCACAGCUUGGUAGAUUUUCAUUGAAACUUUCAGCUGAUUUUCUGUACUAAAGGCAGUAUGUGUUUUAAUUUAUUAUAAUGAAAUUUUGGGUUUUCCCAACCUUUUUGAAGUGAAAACAAUGGAACACAGUGUUGGCAGAUACUGAAGAUUAUUUGAAAGUUUAGAGAAAGUCCCAUUUAAUCUUGAUAAUUGUGGGUUAAAGUUGUAGAUGGAUAAACAAACAUAUCAUACACUUACUCACUUUACCUAUUUGCGAAUCCAGAACUUAACAUAAAGGGGCCCAACACCAGUCAUUUCCUGUACAAUUAACCAAAUUUUU